rnacentral:rRNA from 1 species
GACGAACGCUGGCGGCGUGCUUAACACAUGCAAGUCGAACGGUGAAGCGCCUUCCUUUUUGGUGGGUGUGGAUGAGUGGCGAACGGGUGAGUAACACGUGAGUAACCUGCCCCCUUCUUCUGGAUAACCGCAUGAAAGUGUGGCUAAUACGGGAUAUUCUGGGUCUGUCGCAUGAUGGGUCCGGGAAAGAUAUUGUUUCGGUGGGGGAUGGGCUGGCGGCCUAUCAGCUUGUUGGUGGGGUGAUGGCCUACCAAGGCGGUGACGGGUAGCCGGCCUGGGAGGGUGGACGGUCACACUGGGACUGAGACACGGACGGGACUGCGACGGGAGGCAGCAGUGGGGAAUAGUGAACAAUGGGGGAAAGCGUGAUGCAGCGACGCGGCGGGAGGGAUGGAGGCCUGCGGGUUGUGAACCUCUUUCGCCAGUGAAGCAGGACUGCCUCGUUUGUGGGUGGGUUGACGGUAGCUGGAGAAGAAGCGCCGGCUAACUACGUG